ensembl:lncRNA
UUCCUCUGCAGACACAGUGGCCCGCCUAAGCCCUCUCCCGCCUUCUCCCCAACCCUCCAACCAGCUGACAACUGUCACAGCCCUGCCCACCUCUGCUGCACACACUUCAGCUGGUCUCUCUGAUAUUCACGAAAAGCCUCGACUCACAUGGAAGGUGUUGUUGUUAGUGGGAGCAGGAUUCAGUGUGAUCCUGGGGAUUCUCAUCUCAGCAGUAGUAAUGGCCGUGCUUCACCACAGAAAGAGGGUGAAAGACAAAUAUAGAGGAAAGCCAGCUGACUCCACAGAUGGCGUCCUGUCUCACACCAGCGAAGAAGUGGCCCCUAUCAUCUACACUGUGGUUGACUUCAAGCCUCAUGAAGAAAUCAGUGAGCUCUAUGCAAACGUAUGUAUGCACAGCCCAAGAACAACCAGGGCCAAAUCACCACUGGAGGACCUGGACACUGUUGAGUAUUCCACUGUUGCCAUAAGUCUUUGACAGACUCUUUGAUUUCGCUAGAUGUAGUUAGAUGCUGACUAUCGUUACGAACAUGGACUUCCUUUCAGGUGUUAAUUAUCGGACGGCGUGUGUUAUCGGCAAACGUUCGCGUUGUCAUGUGAAUCCAUUAUUAAACUGAAGUUAUUGAUUGUUA